rnacentral:piRNA from 1 species
UCAAAGCCACCUGGUCCUGCUCACUGUU